AGUGAACGCUGGCGGUAGGCCUAACACAUGCAAGUCGAACGGCAGCACAGUAAGAGCUUGCUCUUACGGGUGGCGAGUGGCGGACGGGUGAGGAAUACAUCGGAAUCUACUUUUUCGUGGGGGAUAACGUAGGGAAACUUACGCUAAUACCGCAUACGACCUACGGGUGAAAGCAGGGGAUCUUCGGACCUUGCGCGAUUGAAUGAGCCGAUGUCGGAUUAGCUAGUUGGCGGGGUAAAGGCCCACCAAGGCGACGAUCCGUAGCUGGUCUGAGAGGAUGAUCAGCCCCACUGGAACUGAGACACGGUCCAGACUCCUACGGGAGGCAGCAGUGGGGAAUAUUGGACAAUGGGCGCAAGCCUGAUCCAGCCAUACCGCGUGGGUGAAGAAGGCCUUCGGGUUGUAAAGCCCUUUUGUUGGGAAAGAAAAGCAGCAGGUUAAUACCCCGCUGUUCUGGCGGUACCCAAAGAAUAAGCACCGGCUAACUUCGUG
rnacentral:rRNA from 1 species